GAAUCUCGGUAGUUUAGGCGAGCAGUAACCCUGCAGUAUCAAAAUUAAGGAGUUGUAUCCAGAAUUUUUUAUGGGACCACCACGGAAACUUCUACUGUUUACAAAAAAAUAUU